rnacentral:rRNA from 1 species
AUGUCUUUGAUCCCAAGCCUGGUUUACUCUGUUGCUCUUCUCUCGCUCUUUGUACUAGUGAAUGCCAGACCAACUUGGGCAUUUGGUCUUCUCACAACUAUGAGUACAAGGGUGCAGCAUUUUCUGGACACUUACACUUCACAUGCAAGUUUUCUCGAGAUAGUUCAGUUGGCCGCUUUCCCUUUCAGUUCCUUAUACUUCUCCAGACUUGCAGAAUUGAGAUAUAUUUCCCUGGGAUCCAUUGCUCACUGUUUCUAUGGUGGUUCCCAUCUGAUACAAGAUCUUCAUGAAUGGACACCUCGUAUCACAAUGUAUAAGCAGGUGCGGAUGUUCAUAGGAUGGCUCAAUUAUGUGAUGAAUCAUCAAUCUCAAGGCAGCAUAGGAACUGCAGUCAUAUUGUUGCAACAUCUCCAGCCUACUAACCAGCUGCUCGGUUCUUUCUGGUCAUGGGCACAAGCAAAAGGAAAGGUAGACCACUACACAAGUUAUGUGCGUGAGUGUUCUUGCUAUCUUUUAUCUAUCAUUUUCUCUGGGUAUCUGGUCAGUGGAGAGCCCAAAUAUUGCACUUGCCUGCUUGCUUUCAAGGACACUGGUUGGCUCAGAUGUAUCAUGUGUGUCCACAAGAUGUCCUACUCUGCAGUUGCAACUCCUUUUGGCAGUGAAAUCAAGUUCCGUUCCUCUGAUCUGACCAUUUGCAAGCGCAUGAUACUACCCUAUGAUCCAGGAGGGUUGGCUCUUCAGCCAGAUGAGAUAGGAGGCACUCAUGGGUCCAACUUGAUCAUCAUCGGCUUGAGGGCAAGCCGAAUUUCAAGGGGUGGAGAGUGUAACACCCCCAAUAUGGGCUGCCACGAUAUGUAUGUAACAUGGGCCUUGGCUACGAGAUGGGCUGGUCAUCGGAGGCUUGGUCGCACACACAAGCUACAUAUGCAACCGGCAAGCACAGGAGGAGGGCAUCGAAGGAAUGAAUCGUUCUCCAAGUCUCUCGUCCCCUGGCUCCAGUUCCUCACCUCCUGCUCUCUCUAUUCCUCUCUUUGCUUGCUGAUUCUCACCCCCGAUUCUCCCUGUAUCCCCCAAUUUAUACCCGAAUAUUGGUACUAA